AUCUAUGGCCAUGCCACCCUGAACACGCUUGAUCCCGUCUGACCUUGGAAGUUAAGCAGGGUCGGGCCUGGUUGGUACUGGGAUGGGAGACCACCUGGGAAGACCAAGUGCUGUAGGCA
rnacentral:rRNA from 1 species